rnacentral:tRNA from 1 species
GCCUCUAUAGCUCAGUUGGUUAGAGCACCAGUUUCGUAAACUGGGGGUCGGGAGUUCAAGUCUCCCUAGAGGCU